rnacentral:rRNA from 1 species
CUCAGGAUGAACGCUGGCGGCGUGCCUAAUACAUGCAAGUCGAGCGAACAGAUGAGAAGCUUGCUUCUCUGAUGUUAGCGGCGGACGGGUGAGUAACACGUGGGUAACCUACCUAUAAGACUGGGAUAACUCCGGGAAACCGGGGCUAAUACCGGAUAAUAUUUUGAACCGCAUGGUUCAAUAGUGAAAGACGGUUUCGGCUGUCACUUAUAGAUGGACCCGCGCCGUAUUAGCUAGUUGGUAAGGUAACGGCUUACCAAGGCGACGAUACGUAGCCGACCUGAGAGGGUGAUCGGCCACACUGGAACUGAGACACGGUCCAGACUCCUACGGGAGGCAGCAGUAGGGAAUCUUCCGCAAUGGGCGAAAGCCUGACGGAGCAACGCCGCGUGAGUGAUGAAGGUCUUCGGAUCGUAAAACUCUGUUGUUAGG